CUCCUCUGUGCCUCACCCUUGCCCCUUUCUCACACAGUUCCUGCCUGGUGUUCUGUUGUUCUUGCUGUUUCAUGUUUUCAGACAGCGAGUCCUGAGAAGGAGUUAUCCGUUCCCUACACCUGUAGGAUUGUCUCAGGUUUGUUUUGUCUUGGAAAACUCCAGGCCUUCUGCUGUGUUGCCCUCCGAUUGCCUCCUUUCCCGCUCAGCUCGGAAGGUGUCUGUUGAUCAGCUCUGUUCUGGCUGCUGCAGUUUCUACCCCUACAUCAAGAUCCACUUCUGUCCUGGCCACCGAAGCAGCCCUUGACACCCAGUCCAGCUCUGCCUUCCUUCAGGUUGGGGAAGAGCUAACUGGGCAUCUCUCCAGGUGCCGGCAGAGCAGCUCAGGCAAUCAAAGUGCUAAGCCCCAGUGCUCUCCAGUGGGAAAAAAUCUUUUUUGCGUGCCGAUGUCCCCCACAGAGCGCUCCUGA
rnacentral:lncRNA from 1 species